rnacentral:rRNA from 1 species
CAAGGAAUCUUCCGCAAUGGGCGAAAGCCUGACGGAGCAACGCCGCGUGUGGGAUGACGCCUUUCGGGGUGUAAACCACUUUUCCCUGGGAAGAAGCACUGACGGUACUUGAGGAAUAAGGACCGGCUAACUACGUCCCAGCAGCCGCGGUAAUACGUAGGGUCCGAGCGUUGUCCGGAGUUACUGGGCGUAAAGCGCGCGCAGGCGGCGGUGUAAGCAUUGCGUGAAUGCCCCAGGCUUAACCUGGGAGGGUCGUCGUGGACUGCAGCGCUUGAGAGCGGUAGGGGCUGGUGGAAUGCCUGGGGUAGUGGUGAAAUGCGUAGAGAUCAGGCGGAACACCCGUGGCGAAGGCGGCCAGCUGGGCCGUACCUGACGCUGAGGCGCGAAGGCGUGGGGAGCGAACGGG